rnacentral:rRNA from 1 species
UACGUAGGGUGCGAGCGUUAAUCGGAAUUACUGGGCGUAAAGCGUGCGCAGGCGGUUGUGCAAGACAGAUGUGAAAUCCCCGGGCUUAACCUGGGAACUGCAUUUGUGACUGCACGGCUGGAGUGCGGCAGAGGGGAUGGAAUUCCGGCGUGUAGCAGUGAAAUGCGUAGAUAUGCGGAGGAACACCGAUGGCGAAGGCAAUCCCCUGGGCCUGCACUGACGCUCAUGCACGAAAGCGUGGGGAGCAAACAGG